CAAAACUGAGAGUUUAGAUGAAGUUUUCCUUUUAACAAGAUGGAGUCUUUGAAAUUGACUCAAUUAUGUUUUAUGCAUGACUUUCUUGUUACCUAACGUACUAUUUUAUGUUUAGGUUGAAGCAGUUCCAAUAAUUACUGUAUGGUAGUCUAAGAGAUACAUAAACUAAAACAGUUAAUGAGGAAAAUAAUAUUCAGAAAAGCAUGCGUCUUACAAAUAUGGUGGAAGGAACCGGUGAUAGACCUGGAAGGACUGACGCCAUUUUGACUUUUAUUGCAAGUUAAAAAUGUCGUAGACUUUGAACAGAUUGGUAUUGUUAUAAAAUGAUUAUAACAGUACUGUGUGUUUAACAGGAUAAUGACAUCAAUAAACCGUAGAAUACCACCUAAACGCGAUGCAGCUGAACAUGCAGCAACGGCCAGUGACAAGACAGGAAGGUUGGAAGUGAAGUUCAUCAAUCAUUAUAAAGGACGAGGUGUGUUCGCCACGACUCCUUUUAAAAAAGGAGAUUUUGUGGUGGAGUACAGAGGGGAGUUGAUAAACUAUGAAGAAUCACAAAGGAGGAGGAGACUGUAUCAUAGUGCAUGUGCUGUCUUCAUGUUUGACUUCUUGUGGCAAGAAAGAUGGUGGUGUAUCGAUGCAUCCCGAGAAGAUAACAGUCUU